CAAAACGGAGAGUUUGAUCCUGGCUCAGGAUGAACGCUGGCGGUAUGCUUAACACAUGCAAGUCGAACGGGAAUCUUAGGAUUCUA
rnacentral:rRNA from 1 species